UCUGUUCUCCGUUUGUUUCAGAUUCAUUUAUCGCUCAGGGGAGAUGUGCCUUGGAUGUUGGCCGUUCGAUCUCUGAUCGCCGUUCAAAUCGAUGCAUGCACCUUGAAGACUUGAAACGGGAGAGAUCUUUAUCCCUCUUUGCACGGCUCUAUUUUUUUCUCCAUUGUUCAAUCCUCUCUUUUAUCUGCGAGAUUCACUCCCUCUUCCCGCACGCCCUGUCUUCCAUUUCGUUUGCAGUUGAUUUCGUUUAGCAAUCUGCAACAGAUUCUCUUCGACAUGGUCGGGAAGUCUGUCGCGUUCUCGCUGGGUUGUUCGGCGUAACGGCUCCGUAACUUAUUCCUUCGUAGCUGCGGAUUUCCGUCCUCGACUUCAUCGGAGUCGAUUCGUCUUUUGUGAAGUUCAUUCUCGGCUCUUUGAAUAGUCAUUAUCAUUCUCAGCGCUCAAGCUUUCAGGUGCCCCUAAAUCUUUUGAGAAUACGGUUGUUGCAUUUGAAAAUCAGUUUCCACCCUCUGUGGUUACUUUUGCUGUCAGCAAUGGAUGGAUACUACUUAUAAUAAUGCCAGAUGUUUCGAGCCACAGACCCUGUGCCCUAAAUUGCAAACAAUCCAGGUAUCAUGCUGCUAUUCGGACGUGCUUGCCGUGAAUUUGCUUUGAACCAAUUGACGAUACUGGUAUUCCUCUCUGCCACUUGGAUCAGGUUCUUUUUCUCCUUUAUUUUUUGCGUGUUGCGCUACGGGUCUCUGUCGCACUCUCUAUCUCUGUUCUUCUCUGGGUUUGUUCUAUUUUUUUUGGGUUUUCUUUCGGUUCGCAAAAUUUGUCUCUUAUUUGAUAUUUGCUAUAUAUUUUUGGUUUACUACCUAUUAAUUAAUUCCUGAAAUUUUUAAUAAAUGUUUAUUAAUGAAAUAUAAUACAUACCGUAUAUUUAUGUGAGUUUAAUCAUUUUGACAUUUAAGACCAAUGGUGAAAUAUUACUUACAGCCAUUUUGACAUGCAAGAUACUAUAGAUGUCCAUGGUCUUUUAGCCUUCAGGGAAAAAGAGAGGGCUACACGUGUAACUUAUACAUGAGUUUGUAAAUUACACUUUUAGUAAUCCUUCAUCAGUUACCAUUACCAAUGGUGAUUAAUUGAAUUCACAGUGACUUCUCUAUAUUUGGUUGCAUAUUUAUAUGAUUCGAUCUACAGAAUUCGCACAUUCUUAAAUAUUUGUUUUUUUUUAUAUUGUCAAAGACUAUCCAUUUAAAGGAUUAGGUGAAAUUUAGUUGCUAGGAAAAUGGAGAAAUUUAGGAACCUGGAGCAGAAUGUAAGGAGAAGGAGAAGAGUUUGGUUGAUUAUGACUACAAAGCAUUUGUUGAUGAGUCUAAUAGUGUGUUUGGAUUGAGGGAUUUGGGGGAAGGGAAGAGAAGGGAAAUGUGGUUUCCUUCCAAUUCCCGUAUUUGGAUAGUUUAUAAAAAAUUAAGAGAUGGAUUUGAGGGGAU